rnacentral:rRNA from 1 species
UACGGAGGGUGCAAGCGUUACUCGGAAUCACUGGGCGUAAAGCGCGCGCAGGCGGUUUGAUAAGUUGGAAGUGAAAUCCUAUGGCUCAACCAUAGAACUGCUUCCAAAACUGUCAAACUAGAGUGUGGGAGGGGAAGAUGGAAUUAGUUGUGUAGGGGUAAAAUCCGUAGAGAUAACUAGGAAUACCAAAAGCGAAGGCGAUCUUCUGGAACACUACUGACGCUGAGGCGCGAAAGCGUGGGGAGCAAACAGGAUUAGAUACCCUGGUAGUCCACGCAGUAAACGAUGAAUGUUAGUCGUUGGGUAGCAAGUCUAUUCAGUGAUGCAGUUAACACAUUAAACAUUCCGCCUGGGGAGUACGGUCGCAAGAUUAAAACUCAAAGGAAUAGACGGGGACCCGCACAAGUGGUGGAGCAUGUGGUUUAAUUCGAAGAUACGCGAAGAACCUUACCUAGCCUUGACAUUGAUAGAAUCUUCCAGAGAUGGAGGAGUGCCUUUCGGGGAACUUGAAAACAGGUGCUGCACGGCUGUCGUCAGCUCGUGUCGUGAGAUGUUGGGUUAAGUCCCGCAACGAGCGCAACCCUCAUCACUAGUUACUAACAGUUAGGCUGAGGACUCUAGUGAGACUGCCUUCGUAAGGAGGAGGAAGGUGAGGACGACGUCAAGUCAUCAUGGCCCUUACGGCUAGGGCAACACACGUGCUACAAUGGUUAGGACAGUGAGAAGCAAUACCGCGAGGUGGAGCCAAUCUAUAAACCUAAUCUCAGUUCGGAUUGUAGUCUGCAACUCGACUACAUGAAGCUGGAAUCACUAGUAAUCGUAGAUCAGCUAUGCUACGGUGAAUACGUUCCCGGGUC